rnacentral:rRNA from 1 species
AGUGAACGCUGGCGGUAGGCCUAACACAUGCAAGUCGAACGGCAGCACAGUAAGAGCUUGCUCUUACGGGUGGCGAGUGGCGGACGGGUGAGGAAUACAUCGGAAUCUACUUUUUCGUGGGGGAUAACGUAGGGAAACUUACGCUAAUACCGCAUACGACCUACGGGUGAAAGCAGGGGAUCUUCGGACCUUGCGCGAUUGAAUGAGCCGAUGUCGGAUUAGCUAGUUGGCGGGGUAAAGGCCCACCAAGGCGACGAUCCGUAGCUGGUCUGAGAGGAUGAUCAGCCACACUGGAACUGAGACACGGUCCAUACUCCUACGGGAGGCAGCAGUGGGGAAUAUUGGACAAUGGGCGCAAGCCUGGUCCAGCCAUACCGCGUGGGUGAAGAAGGCCUUCGGGUUGUAAAGCCCUUUUGUUGGGAAAGAAAAGCAGCAGGUUAAUACCCCGCUGUUCUGACGGUACCCAAAGAAUAAGCACCGGCUAACUUCGUG